rnacentral:rRNA from 1 species
GAUGAACGCUGGCGGCGUGCUUAACACAUGCAAGUCGAACGGAAAGGCCCAAGCUUGCUUGGGUACUCGAGUGGCGAACGGGUGAGUAACACGUGGGUGAUCUGCCCUGCACUUCGGGAUAAGCCUGGGAAACUGGGUCUAAUACCGGAUAGGACGAUGGUUUGGAUGCCAUUGUGGAAAGUUUUUUCGGUGUGGGAUGAGCUCGCGGCCUAUCAGCUUGUUGGUGGGGUAUUGGCCUACCAAGGCGUCGGCGGGUAGCCGGCCUGAGAGGGUGUACGGCCACAUUGGGACUGAGAUACGGCCCAGACUCCGACGGGAGGCAGCAGUGGGGAAUAUUGCACAAUGGGCGCAAGCCUGAUGCAGCGACGCCGCGUGGGGGAUGACGGCCUUCGGGUUGUAAACUCCUUUCGCUAGGGACGAAGCGUUUUUGUGACGGUACCUGGAGAAGAAGCACCGGCUAACUACGUG